rnacentral:rRNA from 1 species
UUGGAGGGCAAGUCUGGUGCCAGCAGCCGCGGUAAUUCCAGCUCCAACAGCGUAUAUUAAAGUUGCUGCAGUUAAAAAGCUCGUAGUUGAAUUUCGGGACUAAUAUGUCGGUCGUGCCUCGGUACGUACUGGUAUUUUUGGUUUCUCCCUUCUGACGAACCUUGAUGUCAUUAAUUUGGUGUCUUGGGGAAUCAGGACUGUUACUUUGAAAAAAUUAGAGUGUUUAAAGCAGGCUCACGCUUGAAUACAUUAGCAUGGAAUAAUGAAAUAGGACGUUUGAUUCUAUUUUGUUGGUUUCUAGGAUCGACGUAAUGAUUAAUAGGGAUAGUUGGGGGCAUUAGUAUUCAAUUGUCAGAGGUGAGAUUCUUGGAUUUAUUGAAGACUAACUACUGCGAACGCAUUUGCCAAGGAUGUUUUCAUUAAUCAAGAACGAAAGUUAGGGGAUCGAAGACGAUCAGAUACCGUCGUAGUCUUAACCAUAAACUAUGCCGACUAGGGAUCGGAUGAUGUUAAUUCUUUAAUGACUCAUUCGGCGCCUUACGGGAAACCAAAGUGUUUGGGUUC